GUCUGGCCGCAUAGUGUUAUUAGUUUUGUGCAAAGUCGGCGUUAAAUAUGCAUAAAAUGUGUGUUUUAAUUGCGAACAGCAACAUUUUUCACAGCAUUCCAAUGCUGCUGCAAAGGAUCGAAGAACAGGUCAUGCUGCGCAUUCCAGGACACUGUAUGUGUUUUCAACACGCUUUCCUCGCCAAAUAAUAAUGCCCUUUACGAAGGGUAUAAUAAACCCAUUGUGUGGAUUGCCAGGAGUGCUGUGCGGGCUGUGGUGUGUGGCCAUUGUGAGGGUCUCUCAGUGCCUCCUCACUAGGCCUGGAAAUUAGCAUACAAACUGUCUGGGCAGAAAAUCCACCCAUUGAGAGAGGGAACCGACUCGAACCAGAAAUCAUUGCUGUUGUCAGUUCUUGUUCGCCUGCCUGGCUGUGACGUGGCAACACUGACAGGACACUUUUGACAGCCCAGAGACAGCGAGGACUAAGCUUCUGCUAAUGUCAACAGCAAACAGUUCAAAAUUGUGCAAAAACAACAACCAAAAGACAAACAAAAAGAUAAAUGUGGGAUUGAAAUGUGUGGAAAAUAA